rnacentral:lncRNA from 1 species
AUGGUCUGCAUCUUUCCCAUGUGCUCCUGAGGGUUAUGUAUGCUAGAGGAAGAAGAAUGCCCUUUCCAGAGCCAGUUCUUGGGGAAAAGAGGAACUGUUGAUAUAGCCAGAGCCUGAAAAGAAGAUAACUCUGCAACAGCUAAAGCCUCACGAAAGAUUUUACUUGUAGAUCAACUUUCAAAAUGUAGGAAGUCAGAAUGGGUGACAUCAUCAGAAAAAUAUGUGGAGCUGAUCACCACAAGAAGUGAAGAACCCAGGGCACGAAAGCGGUUGUGACUCCUGGGCCCAGGGAGCUGGCAGCGUCUGGGCUUCAGAGGAGCCAGCGACUCCGAGUGGUCUUGAAGUGAGGCUCUGCUGUACUCCUGUUCUUGUGGCUCUGAGAUCUGAAUGUUGUGACCACUAAUUUGGGACAUUUAACCUGGGAUUCACUGAAACCUUUGAGGAAAGAUGGAUGAGUCAUCUCUCUGCCAAAAGAAGAUGAUUCCUGGCAUUCUAUGGGGCUCUUAGUGCAUUGGGACAAGGAGGCUUGGAAAUUACUCCACGGAGGCAUUGACCUUGGGUAGUGCCUCUCAAGCCAGAGUGGAGAGAGUAGAGCCCUCAUCUUUGUCCAAAAGAGCAUUAGUAUAACCCCUUACCCCAACCCCACCCCAUUCUCUCCUUUUUAAAAGGAGAGAAGAAUAUAUACAAGAAAAAAUCGGAAAAAAUACAUCAAAAUGUUAAAAAUUGUUGAGAUAGUAUUUUAUGUGGUGUUUUGCCCCCA